rnacentral:rRNA from 1 species
UGGGGAAUAUUGCACAAUGGAGGAAACUCUGAUGCAGCGACGCCGCGUGAGCGAAGAAGGAAUUCGUUUCGUAAAGCUCUGUCCUAUGGGAAGAUAAUGACGGUACCAUAGGAGGAAGCCCCGGCUAACUACGUGCCAGCAGCCGCGGUAAUACGUAGGGGGCGAGCGUUAUCCGGAAUUAUUGGGCGUAAAGGGUACGUAGGCGGUUUUUUAAGUCAGAUGUGAAAUCGGUGGGCUCAACCCAUCCAAGCAUUUGAAACUGGAAGACUUGAAUCAUGGAGAGGAAAGUGGAAUUCCUAGUGUAGCGGUGAAAUGCGUAGAUAUUAGGAGGAAUACCGGUGGCGAAGGCGACUUUCUGGACAUGUAUUGACGCUGAGGUACGAAAGCGUGGGGAGCAAACA